GAUGAACGCUGGCGGCGUGCCUAAUACAUGCAAGUCGAGCGAACGGACGAGAAGCUUGCUUCUCUGAUGUUAGCGGCGGACGGGUGAGUAACACGUGGAUAACCUACCUAUAAGACUGGGAUAACUUCGGGAAACCGGAGCUAAUACCGGAUAAUAUUUUGAACCGCAUGGUUCAAAAGUGAAAGACGGUCUUGCUGUCACUUAUAGAUGGAUCCGCGCUGCAUUAGCUAGUUGGUAAGGUAACGGCUUACCAAGGCAACGAUGCAUAGCCGACCUGAGAGGGUGAUCUGCCACACUGUAACUGAGACACGGUCCAGACUCCUACGGGAGGCAGCAGUAGGGAAUCUUCCGCAAUGGGCGAAAGCCUGACGGAGCAACGCCGCGUGAGUGAUGAAGGUCUUCGGAUCGUAAAACUCUGUUAUUAGGGAAGAACAUAUGUGUAAGUAACUGUGCACAUCUUGACGGUACCUAAUCAGAAAGCCACGGCUAACUACGUG
rnacentral:rRNA from 1 species